UGCUCCUCGGAUAAGAAAAUAGUAUGGGGAGUCGGACCUGCCCGGUGACUAACAUGUUAAACGGCCGCGGUACCCUAACCGUGCAAAGGUAGCAUAAUCAUUUGCCUUUUAAUUGGAGGCUUGUAUGAAUGGUUUGACGAGAGCUGAGCUGUCUCUUUUGAAAUAUUUAGAAAUUAACUUUUAGGUGAAGAGGCCUAAAUGCUGUUGAGGGACAAGAAGACCCUGUUGAGCUUUAGUGGAGUGAUGGGGUAAAUAAUUGAGUUGUAAUUAGUAAACUUUAUCUGUGAUACAGAAUGUUUUCCUGUUAUUAAUCUUUAGUUGGGGCGACUGAGGAACAUUAAAAGCUUCCUUUAAAAUUAUGAAUGUUAGCUAAUUUAUGAAGCUGAGAUAAAUGUAGACGAAUUGUAAUCGGGAUCCAGUAAGUAAAGUAUUGAUUAAAGGAAAAAGUUACCACAGGGAUAACAGCGUAAUCUUUCUGGAGAGAUCUUAUCGAAAGGAGGGUUUGCGACCUCGAUGUUGGACUAAGAUAUCCUAAGGGUGUAGAAGCUCUUGAUGGUUGGUCUGUUCGACCAUUAAAAUCUU
rnacentral:rRNA from 1 species